UAAACUAGGAUUAGAUACCCUAUUAUUAUACCUAAAUUUUAAUUAAUUUAAAAAUUAAAUGAUAAAUCACUAAAUUUAAAAAAUUUGACAGUAUAUUAUUUUCAUAGAGGAAUAUAUUUUUAAUAGAUAAUAAACUAUAAUAAAUACUUAAAUUCAAUGUUUAUAUAUUAUUGUUUUAAAAUUAAAUUUUUAAAUUAUUAUUAAUUAAAAUAUUUUUAAAAUAAAAAUUCAAAUCAUAAUAUAACUUAUAUUUAAGAAAAUUAGUAUUACUUUAUUUUAAAAUAAAAUUUUAAAAAAUUAUUUUUUUAAAAAAUUAGAAUUUAUAACUAAAAAAAAUUAAUUAAUUUUUUGAAAAUAUAAUUAAUAUAUGUACAUAUUGCCCGUCAUUUUCAUAACUGAAAUAAGUCGUAACAUAGUAA
rnacentral:rRNA from 1 species